CACGUAGGGGGCAAGCGUUGUCCGGAUUUAUUGGGCGUAAAGAGCUCGUAGGUGGUUCGGUAAGUCAGGUGUGAAACCUCCAGGCUCAACCUGGAGACGCCACUUGAUACUGCUGUGACUGGAGUCCGGUAGGGGAGCGUGGAAUUCCUGGUGUAGCGGUGAAAUGCGCAGAUAUCAGGAAGAACACCUAUGGCGAAGGCAGCUCUCUGGGACGGUACUGACGCUGAGACGCGAAAGCGUGGGGAGCAAACAGG
rnacentral:rRNA from 1 species